rnacentral:rRNA from 1 species
CAGUAGCCGCGGGAAUACGUAGGUGGCAAGCGUUGUCCGGAAUUAUUGGGCGUAAAGGGCUCGCAGGCGGUUUCUUAAGUCUGAUGUGAAAGCCCCCGGCUCAACCGGGGAGGGUCAUUGGAAACUGGGAAACUUGAGUGCAGAAGAGGGGAGUGGAAUUCCACGUGUAGCGGUGAAAUGCGUAGAGAUGUGGAGGAACACCAGUGGCGAAGGCGACUCUCUGGUCUGUAACUGACGCUGAGGAGCGAAAGCGUGGGGAGCGAACAGGAUUAGAUACCCGCGUAGUCCCUGUCUCUUAUAC